AGUUGGAAUUCACCAUGAACUGCAUCUCGAGGAUCAAGUUUAGGCUCCCCAGUCCAUUGUGACAUCCAGCAAAGUGGAGUGUCUGCAUCCGGGCUCUUUUUUGUAGUUCUGGUCUAUGUACAAGACAGGAAUAAUAGAGUUGGAGAAGACCCUGAGACGAGCAACUGAAACGGUGAAGGGGACGGAAAGCAAGGCGGGAUAUAAGCUAUAUAUAAAAUGAUAACUCUUCAUAUUAAAACUGGCUAAAGAGAUGGGGUUUCGUCAUGUUGCCCAGGCUGAUGUAGAACUCCUGGCCUCAAGCAAUCCACCUGCUUUGGCCUCCCAAAGUGCUGGGAUUACAGACGUGAGCCACCAUGCCCUGCUGGUUUAACGUUAUAUUGAAGUUUCUCCAACUGAAGGGCAUGUACUGUUGAGCAUGCUCAGAAGCCAAGGUUCAAGCCAUUCUUCAACUAUAGAUGCUUCAACUCAUCUCUCUUUCUUCGGAAUAUUCUCUCCCUUAUCAAUUUCACCAAUUAUACCAAGUAACCCCCUGCUUAUUCCCCUAGAACAGACAGAGCUGAUACUAGUCUGUGCCUUAUGUGAUUUAGAAAAAGACUCUUGGAAUGCAGCCCCAGACCAUGAUGUACAGAGCAUGAGUUGGGUAUUGCCCCAUUUUAUUCUCUAAUUCAGGUGCCCUUGUGCAGUGAAUAACAUGGCAGCUGUGAGACUAGUGAUGCUAAACAGGUUUAAUUUUUGGUGCAAAUUCUAAUGAAUUAAUAAUAGCUGUUUUAAAAAAACACACAGUGCUAAGAAAGACUCUGAGGCUGUUUUCAGGCUCAGUAGAUAAAUUGUACUGUAAGCUGGGAUGAUUUGCCUUGGUUGGGAGAAUGGCACCAGGUGUGACAAGAAUUUGCUAUCUAAGGACUAGAGGCAUCUCACCCGUCCUGAAGAGGUAGGAAGCCUGGGGUAGGCAGAUGUUGAGGUAGAAUGUGGGCCCAGACAAGUUUUAUAAUUUAUAGAACACAACUUUAAAAUGCCCUUGUAAUACAAGGCAACAAUCCUACUUUUCCAGGUCUCUAACAAAAAGCAUCUAGCUGAGCUAGAGUGUUUUCAUGAGGCAUCUGCUACACAAAACAAUGUCUUGCUUAAUAAAUAACACCCGUUUCUACUUGGUGUCAUUUUACUGUUUAAUCAAAACUUAUUUUCACCACUCUUAACCACAAUCUAAAGAAGGAUGCUUCAAUCUCUUCCUGAUUUAGCCUUAAACUUGGUCAUGUGUACCAUUCGACUAGGAUUGCCAGAGUCAGCCACCCUCCCAACAAAGGAUGCUCAGUUAAAUAUUGCACAGAACACACUUAUACUAAAAAUUGUUUGUUGUUUAUCUGAAAUUCAAAUUUAAUGGGGCAUAAUGUAUUUUACUUGGCAAUCCUACCUGUGAUGGACAUAUAUAUUUCCCCCCAGCUUUAUUAAGGUAUAAUUGACAAAUAAAAGUGUAAAUAUUUAUGAUAUAAAUGGAAAUAUAAACAGAUGCUCCUCGACUUUUGAUGGGGUUACAUCCUGAUAAACCUGUCAUAAGUUAAAAAUAUUGUGAGUUGAAAAUUCAUGUAAUACACCUAACUUACUGAAUAUCCUAGCUUGGCCUAGCCAACCUUAAAUGUGCCCAGAACACUUACAUCAGCAUAUUUGGGCUGAUGUAACACAAACCCUAUUUUAUCAUAAACUGUUUAAUAUCUCAUGUAAUUUAUUGAAUACUGUAUUGAAAAUGAAAGAUAAAAUGGUUGUAUGGGUACUCA
rnacentral:lncRNA from 1 species